rnacentral:rRNA from 1 species
GACAGAGGGUGCAACCGUUGUUCGGAUUUACUGGGCGUAAAGCGCGUGUAGGCGGCUUUGCAAGUCGGAUGUGAAAGCCCACGGCUCAACCGUGGAAGUGCAUCCGAAACUGCAUGGCUUGAGUCUCGGAGAGGAAGGUGGAAUGCUUGGUGUAGAGGUGAAAUUCGUAGAUAUCAAGCAGAACACCUGCGGCGAAGGCGGCCUUCUGGACGAUGACUGACGCUGAGACGCGAAAGCGUGGGGAGCAAACAGG